rnacentral:rRNA from 1 species
AUUGAACGCUGGCGGCAGGCCUAACACAUGCAAGUCGAGCGUGAAAGUUCCUUCGGGAGCGAGUAGAGCGGCGGACGGGUGAGUAACGCGUAGGAAUCUGCCCAGUAGUGGGGGACAACAUGGGGAAACUCAUGCUAAUACCGCAUACGCCCUAAGGGGGAAAGCAGGGGAUCUUCGGACCUUGCGCUAUUGGAUGAGCCUGCGUCGGAUUAGCUAGUUGGUGGGGUAAUGGCCUACCAAGGCGACGAUCCGUAGCUGGUCUGAGAGGAUGAUCAGCCACACUGGGACUGAGACACGGCCCAGACUCCUACGGGAGGCAGCAGUGGGGAAUAUUGGACAAUGGGGGAAACCCUGAUCCAGCCAUGCCGCGUGUGUGAAGAAGGCCUUCGGGUUGUAAAGCACUUUCAAUAGGGAGGAAAAGUUAAUGGCUAAUACCCAUUAACCCUGACGUUACCUAUAGAAGAAGCACCGGCAAACUCCGUGCCAGCAGCCGCGGUAAUACGGAGGGUGCGAGCGUUAAUCGGAAUUACUGGGCGUAAAGCGCGCGUAGGCGGUUUGAUUAGCUGGAUGUGAAAGCCCCGGGCUUAACCUGGGAAUUGCAUCCAGAACUGUCAGGCUAGAGUACAGUAGAGGUGAGUGGAAUUUCCUGUGUAGCGGUGAAAUGCGUAGAUAUAGGAAGGAACAUCAGUGGCGAAGGCGGCUCACUGGACUGAUA